rnacentral:rRNA from 1 species
UUAGUGGCCAGGAGGGUGAGUAAUGCAUAGGAAUCUACCUAGUAGUAUGGGAUAGCCACUAGAAAUGGUGGGUAAUACUGUAUAAUCCCUGCGGGGGAAAGAUUUAUCGCUAUUAGAUGAGCCUAUGUCAGAUUAGCUAGUUGGUGGGGUAAUGGCCUACCAAGGCGGUGAUCUGUAGCUGGUCUGAGAGGAUGAUCAGCCACACUGGAACUGAGACACGGUCCAGACUCCUACGGGAGGCAGCAGUGGGGAAUAUUGGACAAUGGGCGCAAGCCUGAUCCAGCUAUGCCGCGUGAGUGAGGAAGGCCUUAGGGUUGUAAAACUCUUUCAGUAGGGAAGAUAAUGACGGUACCUACAGAAGAAGUCCCGGCAAACUCCGUGCCAGCAGCCGCGGUAAUACGGAGGGGGCAAGCGUGUUCCGGA